rnacentral:sRNA from 1 species
GGGGUGUGCCUUUCAGGCAUCCUCUCCUAAAAACUUUUACGGCCGGUCUUUGACCGGCCUUUUUUUUGUUCCCG